UUGCUUCAGCAGCACAUAUACUGAAACUGGAACAAUACAGAGAAGAUUGAUAGGGCCCCUGCACAAAGAUGGCAUGCAAAUUCAUGAAGCAUCCUAUAUUUUU
ensembl:snRNA U6 U6 spliceosomal RNA